AUUGAACGCUGGCGGCAGGCCUAACACAUGCAAGUCGAGCGGAUGACGGGAGCUUGCUCCUGGAUUCAGCGGCGGACGGGUGAGUAAUGCCUAGGAAUCUGCCUGGUAGUGGGGGACAACGUUUCGAAAGGAACGCUAAUACCGCAUACGUCCUACGGGAGAAAGCAGGGGACCUUCGGGCCUUGCGCUAUCAGAUGAGCCUAGGUCGGAUUAGCUAGUUGGUGAGGUAAUGGCUCACCAAGGCGACGAUCCGUAACUGGUCUGAGAGGAUGAUCAGUCACACUGGAACUGAGACACGGUCCAGACUCCUACGGGAGGCAGCAGUGGGGAAUAUUGGACAAUGGGCGAAAGCCUGAUCCAGCCAUGCCGCGUGUGUGAAGAAGGUCUUCGGAUUGUAAAGCACUUUAAGUUGGGAGGAAGGGUUGUAGAUUAAUACUCUGCAAUUUUGACGUUACCGACAGAAUAAGCACCGGCUAACUCUGUGCCAGCCGCCGCCGUAAAAC
rnacentral:rRNA from 1 species